UACGUAGGGUGCGAGCGUUAAUCGGAAUUACUGGGCGUAAAGCGUGCGCAGGCGGCUUUGCAAGACAGAUGUGAAAUCCCCCGGGCUCAACCUGGGAACUGCAAUGGAAACUGGCGAGCUUGAGUGUGGCAGAGGGGGGUGGAAUUCCGCGUGUAGCAGUGAAAUGCGUAGAGAUGCGGAGGAACACCGAUGGCGAAGGCAGCCCCCCUGGGCCAACACUGACGCUCAGGCACGAAAGCGUGGGGAGCAAACAGG
rnacentral:rRNA from 1 species